rnacentral:lncRNA from 1 species
GCCCCCUAAGAACAAGCUGAUAAACAAUAAAACAAACCACAAGGGAAAAUGUUAUCUCAUCUCAACCAUCAAAACAGAAGCACUAUGGUAUUAUUUUACUCCAGAGUAUGAAACUUAAAGAUUUUAUCAGCUUUUCAUCAGAAACAAUGUGUAAUACCCAUCAUUUGCUUCGAGAUAAAUCUCCACAAUGAAAAAAAUGCUUCUUAAAAUUCUCAAUCCCUGGGCUUACCUGAUACAAACAAUAAAGUUAUUAUUUCAAAAUUUAUGACAAUUUGAUUGGCAUAAUAUAUAUAUCAUAUUCUAUAUAGAAACGAGAUUAUUCCUUCCAAACCGGUAAACUCUUACCAAGUUCAUAAGAUAUCACAGAGUUUCAAUUAGAAAAGCAUUAUAGAAGGUCAUUACCACUAAAGACUAGCUUAUAAAAUUAUCAUACAAACAUCACCUUGUGGAGCAAUCCAGCAAGCAAACUAGAAUUAGUAAACCACAAAAUGGAAAUCCUUGAGACAAUAUUAUAUUAAAAUUUUGACGAAUCAAAUUAUGUUUUUAGUAAGUCAGUUCCAACCAAUUAUAGUAAAGUAACAUUUUUCAGGCUCUUUAACACCUUAUAUAACCAUAUUCAACUGCUAAACACUUUAAUUUCCUGACAAGCCUCAGUUGCUGAACAGAGAUUACAAUUAACAAUAAGACAUGGAACUUGAAUCCGUGCACCUAAAAUGUUCCCCUAUCGAAGCUGAUUCUUAUAUAAAUACAUUGAUUACAAAAACACAACAAAAAAGCUAUCUAUGGGAACUAUUCUAGAUGGUUUAGCCUUUAGCAAAAAUACAAUCCACAUCUUAGGAGGCUAGUGUUGAGAUGGGAAAAGCCAUCCACUCUACUAGACAAUAACUGUACUAUGAUAAAUACUUCCCCUCAUGAGGUGCCUUUUCUCAAAGGAAAAAACCGUGAGAUCGGUCUUCACCUUCGAAGCAGACAAUAUCUCAUCACAGGCAUAGUCCCCACAAUCCUUGUAUUAACAGUCAUUAAUCAAGCAUGCUUAUUCAGAUACAACAUGAAAGGCAAUUACAAUGAAGUAAAAUUCCAUCUUUCUAAGUUCAUCGUUAAUCACUAACCAAAUUUCCUCCAGCUAAGCUUCGCAUGCCCAAAAACAUUUAAUAAGAGCAUUAUUAAACAUAAAAAAGACACAUUAUUUCAUCCAAAUGCCUUUCCCAGGAACCGUAAACAAUUUUAAAAAAAAAAGAAUACCUAGUUCAGAGAGGGAGCUGAAAAGAGUGUGAAUCAGUUAACGAAGAAAUAGAUACUGGGAAACGAAGAGACAUAUGACAUGGAGGUGAGCUUGCUGAAGCGUUCGUCCGAG